AACGCACCUUGCGCCCCUUGGUAUUCCGAGGGGCAUGCCUGUUUGAGUGUCAUUGUACUCUCUCAACUUUGACCUUUGAAUUUUCUGAGGUCAGAGCUUGGAUGUUGGAGGUUGUGCUGGCUGGCUACUUUUGCUGGUCAGCUCCUCUGAAAAAUAUUAGUGAAAGGGAAAUGCACUGGUCCUGUGUCUCAUGCUUCUGGCAUUGAUAGUUGUCUAUGCCUUGUGCGGCUGAGAUGCUUUCUGGGAUCGGUGAGUGUCCUUUGUUGCUCACAAUUGUCUGUCAUUCAGACCCUUUUGACCAAUCACCUCAAAUCAGGCAGGACUACCCGCUGAACUUAA
rnacentral:misc_RNA from 1 species